AACUUGACAGCAGCGCUUCUUUCUUAGCUAGUCACCGGCCCCUGCUCAAGAAUGCCAGUGUGUGUGUAGCCUCCACAGAGAGGUCGUUUUCUCGGAGUCCAGAGGGGCCGCCUGAGCUUCUGAGAACUAGGGAGGAGCCAUCCCAGCCAUGAGCCCCUGUGGGAAUCUGCUGGGGGCCAAGUGGCCUGGAGUCCUCAGGCUCCCGCAGCUGCUCCGGAGGGAGAGGUGAGCUCAGGGCAGCCUGCCUGCAGCCAGAGGUGCCGGGAGCCCCGGGCCUGUCAUGGUGGCCAUCUACAGCCGGCCUGAGGCAGUCACAGACGGAUUUGCAGCUGAGCCUGUCUAUCUGGUGUGGGAAGAAGAUGGGGAGUUACUUGUCAGUCCCGGCUUACUUCACCUCCAGAGACCUGUUUCGGUGUUCAGAAUGCCAGGAUUCCCUCACCAACUGGUACUAUGAGAAGGAUGGGAAGCUCUACUGCCCCAAGGACUACUGGGGGAAGUUUGGGGAGUUCUGUCAUGGGUGCUCCCUGCUGAUGACAGGGCCUUUUAUGGUGAGUGAAUCCCUUCAUAUCUGCCCCUCUUGGUCUUCAGAGUCCAUUGACAGUGCUU
rnacentral:lncRNA from 1 species